ACCACUUCUCUGGCUUUUAGAUAAGAUUGAGUGUAUUAUCUGUUUUUAUCAGUUUAAUAUCUGAUAUGUCCCCCAUACGAGGAUUACAUGGGGAUGCCGUGGCUUAAUGGUUAAAGAGUUUGACUACAAACCCCAA
rnacentral:snRNA from 1 species